rnacentral:rRNA from 1 species
AUGAACGCUGGCGGCGUGCCUAAUCCAUGCAAGUCGAGCGAACGGACGAGAAGCUUGCUUCUCUGAUGUUAGCGGCGGACGGGUGAGUAACACGUGGAUAACCUACCUAUAAGACUGGGAUAACUUCGGGAAACCGGAGCUAAUACCGGAUAAUAUUUUGAACCGCAUGGUUCAAAAGUGAAAGACGGUCUUGCUGUCACUUAUAGAUGGAUCCGCGCUGCAUUAGCUAGUUGGUAAGGUAACGGCUUACCAAGGCAACGAUGCAUAGCCGACCUGAGAGGGUGAUCGGCCACACUGUAACUGAGACACGGUCCAGACUCCUACGGGAGGCAGCAGUAGGGAAUCUUCCGCAAUGGGCGAAAGCCUGACGGAGCAACGCCGCGUGAGUGAUGAAGGUCUUCGGAUCGUAAAACUCUGUUAUUAGGGAAGAACAUAUGUGUAAGUAACUGUGCACAUCUUGACGGUACCUAAUCAGAAAGCCACGGCUAACUACGUG